rnacentral:tRNA from 1 species
GCCGGCUUAGCUCAGCUGGUAGAGCAGCGGUUUUGUAAACCGAAGGUCGGGGGUUCGAGUCCCUCAGCCGGCG